rnacentral:rRNA from 1 species
GACGAACGCUGACGGCGUGCUUAACACAUGCAAGUCGAAGGGAGUGGCGAACGGGUGAGUAACACGUGAGUAACCUGCCCUUUUCUUUUGGAUAAGCCUGGGAAACUGGGUCUAAUACUGGAUGGAUUGGGAUGGGCUGGCGGGUUAUCAUCUUGUUGGUGGGUGGCUGGCUUACCAAGGCUUUGACGGGUAGCCGGCCUGAUGGGGAGGUCGGUCAAACUGGGACUGAGAUACGGCCCAGACUCCUACGGGAGGCAGCAGUGGAGGAUAUUGCACGAUGGACGAAAGCCUGAUGCAGCCAUGCCGCGUGUAUGAAGUAGGCCUUCGGGUUGUAAAGUACUUUCAGCGGGGAGGCGUUACGCGCAGAAGAAGCACCGGCUAACUCCGUGCCAGCAGCCGCGGUAAUUC